rnacentral:rRNA from 1 species
CGGUGGGAGCAAGCGUUGUUCGGAUUUACUGGGCGUAAAGGGCGCGUAGGCGGCCAGCACAAGUCAGUUGUGAAAUCUCCGAGCUUAACUCGGAAAGGUCAACUGAUACUGUGCGGCUAGAGUGCGGAAGGGGCAACUGGAAUUCUUGGUGUAGCGGUGAAAUGCGUAGAUAUCAAGAGGAACACCUGCGGCGAAGGCGGGUUGCUGGGCCGACACUGACGCUGAGGCGCGAAAGCCAGGGGAGCGAACGGGAUUAGAUACCCCGGUAGUCCUGGCCUUAAACGAUGAAUGCUUGGUGUCUGGGGUUAUAAAGUCCCCGGGUGCCGUCGCUAACGCUUUAAGCAUUCCGCCUGGGGAGUACGGUCGCAAGACUG